rnacentral:rRNA from 1 species
CCUACGGGAGGCAGCAGUAGGGAAUCUUCCACAAUGGGCGAAAGCCUGAUGGAGCAACGCCGCGUGAGUGAUGAAGGCCUUCGGGUUGUAAAACUCUGUCAUUCGGGACGAACCGGAGUCUGAGGAAAUGCAGACUCUCUGACGGUACCGGAGGAGGAAGCCCCGGCUAACUACGUGCCAGCAGCCGCGGUAAUACGUAGGGGGCAAGCGUUGUCCGGAUUCACUGGGCGUAAAGCGCGCGCAGGCGGUGAUGUAAGUCUGAGGUGAAAACCCGAAGCUCAACUUCGGGACUGCCUUGGAUACUGCGUCACUUGAGGAUAGGAGAGGCAAGGGGAAUUCCACGUGUAGCGGUGAAAUGCGUAGAGAUGUGGAGGAACACCUGUGGCGAAGGCGCCUUGCUGGCCUAUUUCUGACGCUGAGGCGCGAAAGCGUGGGGAGCAAACAGGAUUAGAUACCCUGGUAGUCCACGCUGUAAACGAUGAGUGCUAGGUGUAGGUGGGCUCAUACCCAUCUGUGCCGAAGCUAACGCAUUAAGCACUCCGCCUGGGGAGUCGGUCGCAGACUGAAACUCAAAUGAAUUGACGG